rnacentral:rRNA from 1 species
GAUGAACGCUGGCGGCGUGCUUAACACAUGCAAGUCGAACGUGAGAAUAGCAAUAUUUGAAAGUGGCAAACGGGUGAGUAACACGUGGGAACCUGCCUCGAAGUGGGGGAUAACGAUUGGAAACGGUCGCUAAUACCGCACGGUUCUGCUCUGAUGGGAAUGGAGCAGAUAAAGAUUUAUCGCUUUGAGAGGGGCCCGCGGCCGAUUAGCUAGUUGGUAAGGUAAAGGCUUACCAAGGCGAUUAUCGGUAGCUGGUCUGAGAGGACGACCAGUCACACGGGCACUGAGACACGGGCCCGACUCCUACGGGAGGCAGCAGUAAGGAAUAUUGGUCAAUGGACGCAAGUCUGAACCAGCCAUGCCGCGUGGAGGAUGAAGGUCCUCUGGAUUGUAAACUUCUUUUAUUUGGGAAGAAACCCACGAUUUCUAUUGUGGUUGACGGUACCAGAUGAAUAAGCACCGGCUAACUCCGUGCCAGCAGCCGCGGUAAAGUAGA